GACGAACGCUGGCGGCGUGCUUAACACAUGCAAGUCGAACGGAAAGGCCCUGCUUUUGUGGGGUGCUCGAGUGGCGAACGGGUGAGUAACACGUGAGUAACCUGCCCUUGACUUUGGGAUAACUUCAGGAAACUGGGGCUAAUACCGGAUAGGAGCUCCUGCUGCAUGGUGGGGGUUGGAAAGUUUCGGCGGUUGGGGAUGGACUCGCGGCUUAUCAGCUUGUUGGUGGGGUAGUGGCUUACCAAGGCUUUGACGGGUAGCCGGCCUGAGAGGGUGACCGGCCACAGUGGAACUGAGAUACGGCCCAGACUCCUACGGGAGGCAGCAGUGGGGAAUAUUGCACAAUGGGCGGAAGCCUGAUGCAGCAACGCCGCGUGCGGGAUGACGGCCUUCGGGUUGUAAACCGCUUUCGCCUGUGACGAAGCGUGAGUGACGGUAAUGGGUAAAGAAGCACCGGCUAACUACGUG
rnacentral:rRNA from 1 species